GGGGGAUGUCAGCGGAGGUUUUGGUAAAGGAAAAACAGCAGAAAAAAAGGGGGCAGAGCAGGCGGCUGGGUUUUGGGGGAAGAAAAAAAGAAAAACAGAAAAAAAAGAGGAGAGAGCAGCAUCUGGGUUUGGGGAUAGGAGCUAAACAGAGCAAAAAAAAAAAAAACAGAGGGGAGAGCUAAGUGGAAAAAAAAUAGGGAGCUGGGGCCUGAAAAAGAAAAAACCAGAAAGAGGAGCUGAAAAAUAGAGGCGGAGAAGGCAAAUUUGAGGAGGCGAGAUCUGAGAGUGAAAAGGGAAGGAGCAAGAGAAGAGAAAAAACGCAAGGGAAAGCUGGAGUUUUGGGGCUUCAGGUUAAAUCGAAAACAGAGAGUAGGAAGCAAAAGACGGCUGGAGUUUUGAGGCUAAGAGGGAAGAAAUCUGGGCAGAGGAUGGACAAGGAAGCAACAAGGGAAGAGCCGAGAAAGAUUGGGGGUUGAAAAAGGAAGGAAAAACAGAAAAAAGAAAUUCGGCAGGCAGCAACAAAAGGGAAAGCUACGGAUGAAAAGAAAGGGGGGGGGAAUUGGAGAAAAUAGCCAUAGAGCAAGUUUGAUGGCUAGAGAAUAGCCGAAGAAAAACCAGAGAGGGGCGAGACUUUUAGGGGGAAAAGGAAUAGGGAGCUCCGUCGGCAAGAAAAAAAAAAGAAAAAAAAAGGGAAAAGGGGAAGCGGACAUAAAAAAACAGGGGAGGCUUAUGGCGAGAGGAGAGAACUAGAGAGGGGCGGCUAAGGUUUCUGGGGCAAGAGGAGCUUGGCUGAAAAAAGGAAAAAGAAAAGCAGUAGGCAUUGUCGGCUGGGGGGGAAGAAGAAAGCUAAAAAAAAAAGCAAAGAAAAAUUAAGAGGAAAAGAGGAAUUGAAUGAGGCUUACGGCAGAGUUGGGGGAAAAGAAAAAUCAAAGGGGCGACGGGCAAGAAAAACGCGAGAGAGCUAGAGGAAGAAAUGGCUAGAAAGGGAAGAAAAACAGAGGGUAGGCUGAGUGAGAGGAAGGAGAUGACUGAGAAAGGUCUUUGGCCAAAAGGAAUAGAAAAGAAAAAAAAACAGAGGAAAGGCCACGGUUGCAAACGGAAGCAGAGGAAGAAAGUUUCGGCAAAAUGAAGGAUGAAUUCAGAAAGCUGGAACCGCCUCCGCUCAUCGUCAUCACCACUUCACCGAAUCCGACAUCAUCGCUGGCAGAUUUUCGCCAAGAAGGAAAAUUGUAAGUCGUAUUCCCGCUUCAAAUUUCAGUUUUCUAGUCAAGCAUAAGCACGGGAAAAUCUAAAGGCACGUUCUUUGUGAAACUGAUUCAUUGCAAUUUCCUAGUGAUUUCCCAUAUUUCUUUUUGACCGCAUAUGCCUUAUGUGUUAAAUUGGAUUGAAUUUCCUUGGUUUGCUGACAAUCUUGGGGCUGAUUAUAACCUCAAUUGAGCAGAGAUUUGCUAAAAUUUUUGGUGCCCAAUAGCUGUUCGAUGAAAUGCUCAAAUGAAACUCGUGUUUUCCCCUUUAUUUUUCCUGCUUCAUUUUGUGCAAAAGUUUGCUUCUACGUCUGUGAGUUGGAUAGUCAAGCUGAUGCUUGGUAGUCCCGUUCAAAGGCUGUACAAUCUUGUAUGCUUGAACCAAAAUUUGGAAACAAAGUUUGAUGUGUGAAUGAAUUUUCAAAUGGUGAUGCUAAGCAUGUUAGUGGCCAUGAUGAGUCGGAACCAGAUUUGCUAAGUUGAAACUCAAGGCCGCUGAUAUGCAUUAAUAUUGUGUUUAAUUUGGUUGAAACUAAAGGUUCACGGUUGCUGUUUUCUUGUAUAUUCUUUAUCCAAUGAUGGGUUCCUUUUCCUUGAAUUUUAUAGCUUAGUUGAGUUUCUUUUCAGUCACUACGUUGGGAAUUGGGUUCAUGGUAUGGUCAGUUUUUUGUUCAACUCAUGCAAUGCCUACCAUUGGUGAAUUCCGACAUGUGGUAUACUUUCAAAUGGGCUGCCCGUUCUUAUUUUUAGAACUCCCUGUACAGACAUUAGAAGUUGUGGAUGAUUUUCCUAGCAGCUUGUUGCUUCAUGGUCCAGGUUUUGGGACGUUGUCAUUGAAUGUUUUGGUGUUUGAGCAAAGAUUAAGCAUUUCUUCUGUUCUUCUU
rnacentral:lncRNA from 1 species